UUUCGAAUUAUACUAUUUCGAAAUUCAAACUCUAAACCCUAAAACUCAACUCUAAACUCUAAACCAUCAAUCCUAAACCCUAUAUUUUUUUUUGAAAUGCAAACCCUAAACCCUAAACCAUCAAUCCUAAACCCUAUUUUUUUUAAAUACGAACCCUAAACCCCGAAACAUCAACUCUAAACUAAUCAUCAAUUUUAAACCCUAAACCAUGAAACAUCAACUCUAAACCCUAAAACCCAAAACAUCAACUCUAAACCCUAAACCCUAAACCUUCAAAUCUAAACCCUAAACCAUCAACUCUAAACUCCAAAUCUUAAACUUUAACUCUAAACCCUAAAGCAUCAACACUAAACCCUAAACUAUCAACACUAAACCCUAAACCUUAAAAGUAAACUCUAAACCCUAAAAAAUUAACCCUAAACCCUAAAACAUCAACUCUAAACCCUAAACCCAAAACCUUCAACUCUAAGCCCUAAACCCUAAACCCUAAAUCCUAAACCCUAAACCCUAAAACCUAGAGUUGAUGUUUUAGGGUUUAGAUUUGAAUGUUUAGGGUUUUAAUAAUGGUUUAGGGUUUAGAGUUGAUGAUUUAGGGUUUAAAGUUGAAGUUUUAAGUUUAGAUUUAGGGUUUAGGGUUUACGUUUAGGGUUUAGAGUUGAUGUUUUAGGGUUUAGAUUUGAAGGUUUAGGUUUUUAGGGUUUAGGGUUCGAAUUUCAGAAAAAUAUAGGGUUUACGGUUUACGGUUAGGGUUUAGAUUUGAAGGUUUAGGGUUUAGGGUUUAGAGUUGGUGUUUCGGGGUUUAGGGUUUAGAAGUGAUGUUUAAUGGUUUAGGGUUUAGAGUUGAUGAUUUAGGGUUUAAAGUUGAAGAAGUGAUGUUUAAUGGUUUAGGGUUUAGAGUUGAUGAUUUAGGAUUUAAAGUUGAUGUUUUAAGUUUAGAUUUAGGGUUUAGGGUUUACGUUUAGGGUUUAGAGUUGAUGUUUUAGGGUUUAGAUUUGAAGGUUUAGGGUUUAGGGUUUAGAGUUGAUGUUUUGGGUUUUAGGGUUUAGAGUUGAUGUUUCAUGGUUUAGGGUUUAAAAUUGAUGAUUUAGGGUUUAAAGUUGAUGUUUUAAGUUUAGAUUAGUUAACCAUAUAUAUGUUUUUUUUGUCAAAGUUAAUCAAAAGGUUAUAAUUAUCUUUUACCCUUCACUAAAGAUGAGGGUAAAAGUGAUUAGUGUAAACAUGAAAAGUGGUACUUUAAUAAUAGUAUUUUUGGCAAUUUCUCAUAAUUUUAUAGUUUAUGGGGAGAUUGCCAAAAAUAUCAUUUUCAAAGUACCACUUUUCAUGUUUACACUAACCACUUUUACCCUCAUCUUUAAUGAAAGGUAAAAUACAUUUAUAACCUUUUGAUUAGCUUUGACAAAAAAAAACAUAUGGUUAACUAAUCUAAACUUAAAACAUCAACUAUAAACCCUAAAUCAUUAACUCUAAACCCUAAACCAUGAAAGAUCAACUCUAAACUCUGAACCCCUAAACAUCAACUCUAAACCCUAAACAUCAACUCUACACCUUCAAAUCUAAACCCUAAAACAUCAACUCUAAACCCUAAACGUAAACCCUAAACCCUAAAUCUAAACUUAAAACAUCAACUUUAAAUCCUAAAUCAUCAACUCUAUACCCAAAACCAUGAAACAUCAACUCUAAACCUUAAACCCCGAAACAUCAACUCUAAACCCUAAAACCUAAACCUUCAAAUC
rnacentral:lncRNA from 1 species